GACGAACGCUGGCGGCGUGCUUAACACAUGCAAGUCGAACGGAAAGGCCCUGCUUUUGCGUGGUUCUCGAGUGGCGCACGGGUGUGUAACACGUGAGUAUCCCGCCCUUGACUGUGUGAUAUCUUCAGGAAACUGCGGAUAAUACAGGAUAGCAGCUCCUGCUGCAUGGUGUGCGUUGGAAAGUUUCGGCGGUUGUGGAUGGACUCGCGGCUUAUGAGCUUGUUGGUGGGGUAGUCGCUUACCAGGGCUUUGACGGCUAGCCUGCCUGGGAGGGUGACCGGCGACAUGGGGACUGCGGUACGGCGCAGACGCGUACGGGAGGCAGCAGUGGAGAGUAUGGCACAAUGGGCGGAAGUCUGAUGCAGCGAUGCCGGGUGCGGGAUGACGGCCUUCGGGGUGUAAACCGCUGUCGCCUGUGACGAAGCGUGAGUGACGGUAAUGGGUAAAGAAGCACCGGCUAACUACGUG
rnacentral:rRNA from 1 species